rnacentral:rRNA from 1 species
GACGAACGCUGGCGGCGCGCCUAACACAUGCAAGUCGAGCGAGAACCAGGGCUUCGGCCCUGGGGAAAGCGGCGAACGGGUGAGUAACACGUGGGUAAUCUGCCCUCGGUUCUGGGAUAGCCCGGGGAAACCCGGAUUAAUACCGGAUAGCCUGCCGGCCCUUCGGGGCUGGCAGAAAAGGUAGCUUCGGCCUCCGACCGAGGAUGAGCCCGCGGCAGAUUAGCUAGUUGGUGGGGUAAUGGCCCACCAAGGCGACGAUCUGUAGCUGGUCUGAGAGGACGAUCAGCCACACUGGGACUGAGACACGGCCCAGACUCCUACGGGAGGCAGCAGUGGGGAAUCUUGCGCAAUGGGCGAAAGCCUGACGCAGCGACGCCGCGUGCGGGAAGAAGGCCUUCGGGUUGUAAACCGCUUUCAGGAGGGACGAAGCCACUCGGGUUAAUAGCCCAGAGGGUGACGGUACCUCCAGAAGAAGCCCCGGCUAACUACGUGCCAGCAGCCGCGGUAACAC